AGUUGGUUGUGGCUGAACAGAAGUACAACUAUUAUUGGAAGAGGUGCACAGGUGCUGAUGAAGAGGUGCACAGGUGCUGAUGUUAUAGCAGAUGUCAGUGUGACAUUCUGGCUGGUACAGGUGCUGGAGUUACAGUAGCUGUUUUUGGUGAAUGCACAGAUUUAGGGGGAGAAGAAGUACCCUGGUGCAUUGUGCAUUUGUGUGUCUUACUAGUUGCA
rnacentral:lncRNA from 1 species